rnacentral:snoRNA from 1 species
CUACAUGAUGACAAAGGGCCAUAGUGCCUGAUCUAAUCCCAGCUCGUUGAAUGCCUCAUCAUUAACGCUAGAGCGCAUACUGAGAUAAAACUCUGUCUGAUACA